AAAUUUAAUUCAGUAAGUUAAGUUAGACCGUAAAGGAAUCAGAUGCUUAGGGAAUCAAUGGCUGAACUGGAAGAACGAGAGUCAGAGUAGGCAAUUUACUCUCUCAGGUGUUGUCGUUUUCAGAAAGUCUCUGGAAUCAUAGGAACCCACUGGCUGUGUUCGCAGCUGACUACAGAACUAAGCUCGUGGUGAUUCCCAGGAAAACACCUAGAGGCAGGUGCAAAACAUUGCAUUUGCUGAAGCCCAUAAAUCUGGGGCUUUGUCUGUCUCCAAUGGAGAAACAAUAAUAUGGUUUCUGCCUCUCUUUUGCCUCUCAAAUCUCAUGCUAGUGCUUCUGGCUGGUGCAUUCUAACCUGGAACCCUGCUGAUGGGAAUUGUGAGGAAUGUGGCUUCCAAGCUUCUGGCUCCUACGACACGGAGGCGAGCUUGGGGCAGUGCCAGGAGAAGAGAAUCGAAGAGGCAUUGCACGUGCUGGAUGUGAAAGAAAGGAACUCAGAGAAGAAGAGAUGCUGAACGAUUGGCCUGAACUGACUGGUCUCUUGGCGAGGCUGAAAGCAAGAUGCCCUCUGGCUGCUCUCUCUCCCUCAGAUGCUGCCGAGCGUCUGCUGUGGCCUUUGGCAAAAGUAAGGAUUGUGCCUUGAAAACACCAUUUUGCCUGAGAUAAUUGUCUAAGGGUUGGGGACUGUUUACCUCCUAAAUUUCCAGGAUGGAGCCUUUGCACAUGUGUUGUAUUACUUUGUUAGAUUUUUAUAAAAAGUGAGGCAUGUGAGUGAGUGGUGUUGAGUGAAUUCAGCUGCCAGUAUCCUGAAGCUAUCACAAUGAGUUUAGUUUCCUUAAUUUAUAUUCUCCGAGAACAUCAUCCGUUUUGUACAGGAUUUCAAACACGCAUGCGGAAAGUGGCUUCUAACCUUGUCUUUGAGUCAUUUCCUGCUAAUAAUUUCUCUUUCUGUGCUCCUCUUAUUGUUUCUUUUCUUUCUUUCCCCUUGACUCGUUUACCUAAUGGCCUAUCUAUCAAUAGUUUGUUCAAAGAAUUACUUCUUGGAAUCAUUUUCAUUAAUUUAUAUUUUAACUUUGUUAUCAGAACUUCCUCUCUGGUAUUGCGUUCGUUUACUUAUUUUUUGCCAGCAUCUUGAAUUGGAUGCUUAUUAAUUUUUAUUCUUUCCUUUUUUUUAAAUGUAAGCAUUUAAGGCUAUGAAUCUUCCUCUCAACACAACUUUACCUUUAUCACAUAGUUUCUAACACAAGUUAGUUUUGUUGUUAUUAUUUUCUAGAUGGCUGAUAGUUUAUUUUUUAUUUCCAUUUUGACUCAACAGUUGUUUUUUUUUUUUUUAAAUCGUGUGGUAUGUUUUUCUUUUCUGGUUUUGUUAUUAAUUUCUAGCUUUUUUAUUUUGUGAUCAAAACUAAGUUGCCUUUGCUAUUUUUACUUUUCAAAAUUUAUUGAGUUCUUUUUGCCCAUUAAGUGGACAAAUUUUGUUAAUGUUCUGUGGAUAUGUAAAAAAGUAAGAAUAGUCUCUCCUUUCAUGAUAUAAGCGUUGAAUGCACAGUGAUUACAUGCUACUUUAUUAAUUACAUUCUUUAGGAUGCCUAUAUUUUUUCUUAUUAUUUGUAUACUUGCUAUAUCAAGAGUGAGAGAGGUAAAUUAAUAUUCCUUAUUACUAAUGUAUUUGGCUAGUUCUCCUUGUAUAUCCUAUGCUUUUAAUUUUGUUAAUAUUAGUGCUAUGUUAUUUGACCAUAACUGAAAUUCUGCCUUGUAGAUUGUAUACAUUGUCUUACAGGGCAUGCUUCCUUGUAUAGUUUAUGUUUUUUUAUGUGUGUGGUUCAAAAAAAGAUGAUUAUGGCAUCUGUUUUCUUUUUCACUUGCCUUAUAUAUAUUUGUCCAUCUUUUUAUUUUUACUUUUCCCAUUUGUUUUAGGGGUCUCCAUGGCCAAACUAAUAGGUAGAUUUAGCUAACUAAUAUAAAAGACAUGUUAGGUGUUUUGUAUUUUAUCAUAUUACUGUAAUUUUUUGGUUUUUAUAUUUUUGUUUUUGAAACUUGCAAUAUGGUUUGAAUUUAUUUUGCUGCUUUCUUGUUUUGUGUAAUUUAUAAUCAAUUUGCAAUUAUUGUGAUUUUUUUCCUGAUGGUUACAUUUCUAACUGUAAAUUUAUGUAAUGCCCUUAAUUCUCUAUUUCUUAAUGGAGAGUCUAUUGCCUAGUUACUGUCACUAAUGAUAAAAUAAUUAUAUUUCUAUGUUUUCCCGUCUUAGAUCUUUCCUUUCCAUAUGUGAUCUUCUUUAAUAAUAAUGCUUAGUCUUUACAUUUAUUGCUUUCAUUGUUUUCAGACUUCAAGUGUAAGUACUGGGUUUAUCAGCUUUAAAUGACUCCUCCUUCCCCUACUUCCAGCUCCAAAAGAUAUGAACAUGAGGAGCUUAACUAAGAAAUGCCUUCAUGCUGGAUGUUCUGUGUGCAGUUUUUCCCUGAGAUACCCUGUGUCCUGUGAAUCUAUAGGUUUGUGUUUUUAAAUUUCUGGAUAAUUUUCUUAUACCUAAUAUUUUAAUUUUCCUCUACAACUGUGUUGAAUUUCUUUUUGAUCAGUUUUGUGUAUAUUGGAAUCUCAUUUCUCCUCCACACGUAUGAUUUUCUAGUUGUUUAGCUUGUUCAUUUUCAUCUCAUUUUGCCUCUUUUUCCCAAUUCUGUCUUCUGUGUCCUUUACUGUGUUUUCAGUGGUAUUUUCUCUAAGUCUGCUUCCAACAUGGACCUCAUUUCUGCGAUGGCAUUCCCCCCUUACCCCAACUUCUUUUCUAGGUUCUGCCAUGCCAGCAAUUAUUCUGUUUUCCUACUUCUGUUUUACCUUAUUCUGUUUUCCCACUCUCAGAGCUCAUGUCUGUUUGUUGUGUGUUUUUAUUUUUUGAGGCAAUUUAUUCAUUAUGUUUAAAAAACUCAUGGUGGCAUUGAUGGUCACAAUUUUCAUUUGCUCCUUAGUAUUUUUCUGGUGAGUUACUCAUUUUCCUUGUUCUUUUACUCCUUUUCUUUUCUUUUGGUAUGUUAGUAAAGAUAGUGUACAAAGUCCUUGCAUACUAUUGCUCAUUUUGUUUACAGAGGUGAGUUCUACCUGGACCACAUGUUUUCCAGGAGUUCAUGUGAGAACAGGGCCAAGGUAGUUUCUGAGGCUGGUAGAAGUUCUUGCUAUAACAUAGUGUGUGUGAGUGAGGUAUUUUAUAGUCUUUACUUCCUCUCAGUCAUCUA
rnacentral:lncRNA from 1 species